rnacentral:rRNA from 1 species
GACGAACGCUGGCGGCGUGCCUAAUACAUGCAAGUCGAGCGCAGGGGGGACGGUGGCGUAACACGUGGAUAACCUCCUAUACGACUGGGAUAACUUCGGGAAACCGGUGCUAAACCGGAUAUUCAUGGAUGGAUGCGCGGUGCAUUAGCUAGUUGGUAAGGUAACGGCUUACCAAGGCAACGAUGCAUAGCCGACCUGAGAGGGUGAUCGGCCACACUGGAACUGAGACACGGUCCAGACUCCUACGGGAGGCAGCAGUAGGGAAUCUUCGGCAAUGGGCGAAAGCCUGACGGAGCAACGCCGCGUGAGUGAUGAAGGUCUUCGGAUCGUAAAACUCUGUUAUUAGGGAAGCGGUACCUAAUCAGAAAGCCACGGCUAACUACGUGCCAGCAGCCGCGGUAAUUC